ensembl:rRNA 5S_rRNA 5S ribosomal RNA
GUCUACAGUCAUAUCACCCUGAACACGCCUGAUCUCAUCUGAUCUCAGAAGCUGAGCAGGGUCAAGCCUGAUUAGUACUCGGAAGGGAGAAAACUAAAGACA